CUCAGAGUUCACCCUCAUCCUGGUGUCCGGCACCACUGUACAAACUUGCUGCCCACCUGGGUGAGAAGGACUCUGUGU
ensembl:miRNA